AUACGUAGGGGGCGAGCGUUGUCCGGAAUGACUGGGCGUAAAGGGCGUGUAGGCGGCUGUCUAAGUCUGGAGUGAAAGUCCUGCUUUCAAGGUGGGAAUUGCUUUGGAGACUGGAUGGCUUGAGUGCGGAAGAGGUAAGUGGAAUUCCCAGUGUAGCGGUGAAAUGCGUAGAGAUUGGGGGGAACACCAGUGGCGAAGGCGACUUACUGGGCCGUAACUGAAGCUGAGGCGCGAAAGCGUGGGGAGCGAACAGGAUUAGAUACCCUGGUAGGCCACGCGGUAAACGAUGAAUGCCAGGUGUUGCGGGUAUCGACCCCUGCAGUGCCGGAGUAAACACAAUAAGCAUUCCGCCUGGGGAGUACGGCCGCAAGGUUGAAACUCAAAGGAAUUGACGGGG
rnacentral:rRNA from 1 species